GACGAACGCUGGCGGCGUGCUUAACACAUGCAAGUCGAACGGGGCUGCUAUGAUGGAGUUUUCGGACAACUGAUUAGUAUGCCUAGUGGCGGACGGGUGAGUAACGCGUGAGUAACCUGCCUUUCAGAGGGGGACAACAGCUGGAAACGGCUGCUAAUACCGAAUACGUUCUUUUUGUCGCAUGGCAGAGGGAAGAAAGGGGGGCUCUUCGGAGCUUUCGCUGAAGGAGGGGCUUGCGUCUGAUUAGCUAGUUGGAGGGGUAACGGCCCACCAAGGCGACGAUCAGUAGCCGGUCUGAGAGGAUGAACGGCCACAUUGGGACUGAGACACGGCCCAG
rnacentral:rRNA from 1 species